AUACGGAGGGUGCAAGCGUUAUCCGGAUUCAUUGGGUUUAAAGGGUGCGCAGGCGGAUAUUUAAGUCAGUGGUGAAAUCCCGGGGCUCAACCUCGGAACUGCCAUUGAUACUGAAUAUCUGGAAUACGGUUGAAGUGGGCGGAAUGUAGCAUGUAGCGGUGAAAUGCAUAGAGAUGCUACAGAACACCGAUCGCGAAGGCAGCUCACUAAGCCGAUAUUGACGCUCAGGCACGAAAGCGUGGGGAGCGAACAGGAUUAGAAACCCUUGUAGUCC
rnacentral:rRNA from 1 species